AUUGAACGCUGGCGGCAGGCCUAACACAUGCAAGUCGAGCGAGCGGCGGACGGGUGAGUAUUGUCUGUGAAACUGCGUGAUGGAGGGGGAGAACUACUGGAGACGGUAGCUCAUACCGCAUACACUCUGAUGUGCACAGAUGGGAUAUGUUAGUUGGGGUAAAGUGUCACCUAGGCGACGAUCCCUAGCUGGUCUGAGAGGAUGACCAGCCACACUGGAACGGAGACACGGUCCAGACUCCUACGGGAGGCAGCAGUGGGGAAUAUUGCACAAUGGGCGCAAGCCUGAUACAGCCAUGCCGCGUGUGUGAAGAAGGCCUUCGGGUUGUAAAGCACUUUCAGCGGGGAGGCGUUACCCGCAGAAGAAGCACCGGCUAACUCCGUGCCAGCAGCCGCGGUAAUUC
rnacentral:rRNA from 1 species